AGAGUUUGAUCAUGGCUCAGAGUGAACGCUGGCGGUAGGCCUAACACAUGCAAGUCGAACGGCAGCACAGAGGAGCUUGCUCCUUGGGUGGCGAGUGGCGGACGGGUGAGGAAUACAUCGGAAUCUACUCUGUCGUGGGGGAUAACGUAGGGAAACUUACGCUAAUACCGCAUACGACCUACGGGUGAAAGCAGGGGAUCUUCGGACCUUGCGCGAUUGAAUGAGCCGAUGUCGGAUUAGCUAGUUGGCGGGGUAAAGGCCCACCAAGGCGACGAUCCGUAGCUGGUCUGAGAGGAUGAUCAGCCACACUGGAACUGAGACACGGUCCAGACUCCUACGGGAGGCAGCAGUGGGGAAUAUUGGACAAUGGGCGCAAGCCUGAUCCAGCCAUACCGCGUGGGUGAAGAAGGCCUUCGGGUUGUAAAGCCCUUUUGUUGGGAAAGAAAUCCAGCUGGCUAAUACCCGGUUGGGAUGACGGUACCCAAAGAAUAAGCACCGGCUAACUUCGUGCCAGCAGCCGCGGUAAUACGAAGGGUGCAAGCGUUACUCGGAAUUACUGGGCGUAAAGCGUGCGUAGGUGGUCGUUUAAGUCCGUUGUGAAAGCCCUGGGCUCAACCUGGGAACUGCAGUGGAUACUGGGCGACUAGAGUGUGGUAGAGGGUAGCGGAAUUCCUAGUGUAGCAGUGAAAUGCGUAGAGAUCAGGAGGAACAUCCAUGGCGAAGGCAGCUACCUGGACCAACACUGACACUGAGGCACGAAAGCGUGGGGAGCAAACAGGAUUAGAUACCCCGGUAGUCCAA
rnacentral:rRNA from 1 species